rnacentral:lncRNA from 1 species
UGGACCUUCAACGGGGUACAACUGGCCUUUAGUAACUUCGUAAUUAAUCAUUCAGGACAGCCCCAAAUGUUCCUUUUAGCCUUAUUUUGCUUGAAUAAUGACACUGGAAUGCAAGGGGACACCACGGGAGUGGCCUCCACUUCCCAUUCUUUCCAUGCCCCCUGGGUCCCCUGAUACACAUCGGGCCAAGUAAAGCCCUGCCUAGGGAAUGGCAAGGGAGGACAGGGAGUCAAAUCUGUCUCUUGAAACCCCUGUUAGUAGAAUAAACAUUUUCAAACAUCUGAAUCAGUCUAGGUUAUUUUUUGUUUAAAGAUUUCUUUUCCUGGCCAGGUGCGGUGGCUCACGCCUAUAAUUUCAGCACUUUGGGAGGCUGAGGCGGGCGAAUCACCUGAGGUCAGGAGUUUGAGACCAGCCUGGCCAACAUCGUGAAACCCCGUCUCUACUAACAAUACAAAAAAAAUUAGCUGGGCAUGGUGGCACACACCUGUAAUCCCAGCCACUCGGGAGGCUGAGGCAGGAGAAUUGCUUGAGCCCGGGAGAUGGAGGUUGUAGUGAGCCAAGAUCAUACCACAGCACUCCAACCUGGCUAACAGAGUGAGAUUCUGUCUUUAAAAAAAAAAAAAAAAAAAUUUCCUUUGUUUCUGAAACAGGAUCUCACUCUGUCAUCCAGGCUGGAGUGCAGUGGUACAAUCUUGGCUCACUGCAGCCUCAACUUGUUACGCUCAAGCGAUCCUCCUACCUUAGCCUUCCAAGUAGCUGGGACUACAGGCAUAUACUACCAUGCCCAGCUAAAUUUUUAUUUUAUUUUUAUUUUUAUUUUUUUUUACUUUUAAGUUCUGGGAUACGUGUGCAGAGAGUGCAGGUUUGUCCAUGGUGGUUUGCUGCACCUAUCAACCUGUCAUCUAGGUUUUAAGCCCCGCAUGCAUCAGGUAUUUGUCCUAAUGCUCUCCCUACCCUUGCCCCCACCCCCUGACAUGCCCCACUAUAUGUUGUUCCCAUCCCUGUGUCCAUGUGUUCUCAUUGUUCAACUACCACUUAUGAGUGAGAAUAUGCGGUGUUUGGUUUUCUGUUCCUUUGUUAGUUUGCUGAUAAUGAUGGCUUCCAGCUUCAUCCAUGUCACUGCAAAGGAGAUGAUCUCACUAAUUUUUUAUUUUUUUGUAGAGAUGGGGUCUCACUAUGUUGCCCAGGCUGGUCUAAAAUUUGCUGGACUCAAGCGAUCCUCCUGCCUGGGCCUUCCAAAAUGGGACUACAGGCAUGAGCCACUGCAACGAGGAGGAGGCACUGACUUUCCUUCAUCUGUACUGUGGAUGCUGUGGUGUGCUUCCCAGACACCACUUCUCAUCUAAGGCUUGAAGAAUUCCUCCAGCAGUGGGAGUACUGGCAAUCAACAACUCUCAGCCAAGUCUCUCUUCUAGAAUUGCCCUUGGGUAAAGAGAACUGCCUAGCCCAAGGUCAUACCUCCUUCCAGGAGGCAAUUCGUAUCCAAAGACUUGUAAAUGCAGAGGCACAGAGGCCUAGCCUUAUGACUGCAAUUUGGGGCAACUCUGAAGGGUCAUCCCAACUCCAGAUCUCCUAAUAGGAUGGACUGAGGCCUUUGUUUUGACAGAAUCAUGAAGUUUGACUUUUCUCUCUAAACAAUCUUGGGUUUUUUCAUUCCCCCACAGGAGCUGAUCCUAAGAUUAUUUGCCAAUACAGUUCCUACAUGCAGAUCUCUGCCUCAGAAUUUGGUUCAUGGGGAACUCAACCGGAAAUAGCUGGCACCAGGAGUGUCUGAAAAUGAAAACUCUUAAGACAGGACUUUGGAAAUGGAUCAUUCACAGACCAAAUAUCAAUGAGGUCCCCAUCACUGGUAGUAGGUGGCACACAGACAGCAAAUAGUCCAUGGCAUGCAGUAGCCGUGCAAUUUUUAAAACUUUCACUAGCAGUGAACUUGGAUAGUCUACCAAUGGAAGGAAUGCACUUGUAGGUGCAAUGUAUCAGUCAUUUGAGAAAGACAGAGGAAAUACUAACUAUAAGGACUAUAAAAUUGGAUGCCUAUUGCGGAGGGCCAUUCAGUUCUGCAGAA